rnacentral:rRNA from 1 species
AAAGGGUGCGUAGGCGGCCUGUUAAGUCAGGGGUGAAAGACGGUAGCUCAACUAUCGCAGUGCCCUCGAUACUGAUGGGCUUGAAUUGACUAGAGGUAGGCGGAAUGUGACAAGUAGCGGUGAAAUGCAUAGAUAUGUCACAGAACACCGAUUGCGAAGGCAGCUUACUAUGGUCUUAUUGACGCUGAGGCACGAAAGCGUGGGGAUCAAACAGGAUUAGAUACCCUGGU